GACCAUGACACUCUUGAGUAUGUAUUUACAGGAGGUACAUGGGUCACAAGAGGACCAUCAGGCCAAAUGCAAAGAAGCUAAGUGCUUUGUUCAUGGACCGAGAAAAGAUGGAGUGGCAAACUUUCGCCAAGAAAGUGAAAUCUUGUCAGCGUGGAUUCAUGGGUGAUCCAGAUGAGUUUAAACCAGGACGUGGUGAGUUCCACGAGUACCCACAAUCUUGCAUAUGUCAGAGACCCUUCUCUUAUGACAAAACCUCAACUGACGACGAAGAAGACGACAUACCAGAAGAGAACCACAACAGCACCAGCUUUAGACAUGAGCAUUUGUCUUCAGCUGACCAUGAGCGUGACGAAGUUUUCCCAGACUAGCAAAAUGGUUCUGCUGCAUCAAUAUAGGUCGCUGGAGAUUUUACUGUAACCAGCUGUUGUAAGGAGAUUGAUCAACACAGGUAGAUCGAGGAGAGGAAUAGGAGCUUCCCACGUAGCUACUUGUUGCUUCUAAAGUGUUCAUAGAUACUUCUAUCGAAUAGGCAUACAUAACCCCAGCUCUUCUCUUUGUUUCUUUCUGAUUUUGAAACACCACCACCAAAACUAUCUCUCUUAUCUUGUAUUUGUCUUAUAUCUAGCUUUUGGUCUUUCAACCCGUUGGUCUUUUUUUCUUAUGGUAUUCCCUUAGAUUUCCUGAAAUGUAAAAUCAAGUUUCCCUCUGAUUCCUAACAUUUUUGUUUGUAUUUCAUUUUGAAUAUCAGAAAAGAUGUGCAUUGAUUUCGAUUCAA